rnacentral:rRNA from 1 species
UACAGAGGGGGCAAGCGUUGUUCGGAAUUACUGGGCGUAAAGGGCGCGUAGGCGGCCUGUUAAGUCGAAACGUGAAAUCCCCGGGCUCAACCCCGGGAACUGCGUCCGAUACUGGCAGGCUUGAAUCCGGGAGAGGGAUGCGGAAUUCCAGGUGUAGCGGUGAAAUGCGUAGAUAUCUGGAGGAACACCGGUGGCGAAGGCGGCAUCCUGGACCGGGUAUUGACGCUGAGGCGCGAAAGCCAGGGGAGCGAAACGGGAUUAGAAACCCCAUG